CACUACUUCUUCAAUUCUUCGUUUUAACAGAGU
rnacentral:sRNA from 1 species